UUGACUGUACUGGAAACUGAAGCUCUCUCAUUACAGAUACAGCAUAACAAGUAGCAGUGCAAGUUUCCCAACACUGCUCCAUUGUGCUUCAAGCCUGUUCUAAAGGGACCGCUCUUUGGAGCAACAAUGUAGUUUAACAUCCAUCCCCAUUCUUAUCAUUGCUCUC
ensembl:misc_RNA